rnacentral:lncRNA from 1 species
GACUUUGCAUCCAGUAGAUGGUUCCUUCAGGCUUCCAGGUCAUGACUACAAGGUGCCUCUUCCCAAAUGCCAGCCCCCAUCUCAGCCCAUUCAACUCCGGUCGAGGGAAACCUCACCUCCUCUGCAGCCCCCACCACAGCCACCAUCCCAGAAUCUGCGCGGAGGUCUCCAGCCUGAGGUCUGGAGCCACUGCUGUGUGCAAACCGUGGCUUCUCCAGCCCAGCCUCCUCAUCUGUAAAAUGAGGGUGAGACUUGUUCUCAUCCCCCCGGUUGUCUUGUCGUGAGGACUCAAUGAGGUGUGAGAAGUGCUGAGGACACAGCUGACAGAGAGUGCUUCACGAAUGCCUGGCUGUGAUUGUUAUUAAUAAAGCGCCUGCUUCCCCACCAGGCAGUGAAUUUCUCAAAGAUAAGAC